GCAUAUCAAUAAGCGGAGGAAAAGAAACCAACAGGGAUUGCCUUAGUAACGGCGAGUGAAGCGGCAAAAGCUCAAAUUUGAAAUCUGGCACCUUCGGUGUCCGAGUUGUAAUUUGAAGAAGGUAACUUUGGAGUUGGCUCUUGUCUAUGUUCCUUGGAACAGGACGUCACAGAGGGUGAGAAUCCCGUGCGAUGAGAUGCCCAAUUCUAUGUAAAGUGCUUUCGAAGAGUCGAGUUGUUUGGGAAUGCAGCUCUAAGUGGGUGGUAAAUUCCAUCUAAAGCUAAAUAUUGGCGAGAGACCGAUAGCGAACAAGUACAGUGAUGGAAAGAUGAAAAGAACUUUGAAAAGAGAGUGAAAAAGUACGUGAAAUUGUUGAAAGGGAAGGGCUUGAGAUCAGACUUGGUAUUUUGCGAUCCUUUCCUUCUUGGUUGGGUUCCUCGCAGCUUACUGGGCCAGCAUCGGUUUGGAUGGUAGGAUAAUGACUAAGGAAUGUGGCUCUACUUCGGUGGAGUGUUAUAGCCUUGGUUGAUACUGCCUGUCUAGACCGAGGACUGCGUCUUUUGACUAGGAUGUUGGCAUAAUGAUCUUAAGCCACCCGUCUUGAAAC
rnacentral:rRNA from 1 species